UCCGUAGGCGGUGUGGCAAGUCGGAAGUGAAAUCUCUGGGCUUAACUCAGAGGCUGCUUCCGAAACUGCCGUGCUAGAGUGCGAGAGAGGCAAGUGGAAUUGCGGGUGUAGCGGUGAAAUGCGUAGAUAUCCGCAGGAACAUCCGAGGCGAAAGCGGCUUGCUGGAUCGCAACUGACGCUGAGGGACGAAAGCUAGGGGAGCAAACAGGAUUAGAUACCCUGGUAGUCCUAGCCCUAAACCAUCAGGACUUGGGGUUUGCCCUGUACGGGGCAAGUCCCGUAGCUAACGCGUUAAGUCCCGCGCCUGGGGAGUACGGUCGCAAGGCUGAA
rnacentral:rRNA from 1 species